rnacentral:rRNA from 1 species
GGACAAUGGGCGAAAGCCUGAUCCAGCCAUUCCGCGUGAGUGAAGAAGGCCUUCGGGUUGUAAAGCUCUUUCGCAAGGAAAGAAAACUUACUUACUAAUACUAGGUGAGGAUGACGGUACCUUGAUAAGAAGCACCGGCUAACUACGUGCCAGCAGCCGCGGUAAUACGUAGGGUGCGAGCGUUAAUCGGAAUUACUGGGCGUAAAGCGUGCGCAGGCUGUUUUGUAAGUCAGAUGUGAAAUCCCUGGGCUCAACCUAGGANCUGCGUUUGAAACUACAAGGCUAGAGUGUAGCAGAGGGGGGUAGAAUUCCCCGUGUAGCAGUGAAAUGCGUAGAGAUGUGGAGGAAUACCAAUGGCGAAGGCAGCCCCCUGGGUUAACACUGACNCUCAUGCNCGAAAGCGUGGGGGAGCNAACAGGAUUANAUACCCAGGUAGUCCACGCCCUAAACGAUGUCUACUAGUUGUUGGUGGAGUAAAAUCCAUUAGUAACGCAGCUAACGCGUGAAGUAGACCGCCUGGGGAGUACGGUCGCAAGAUUAAA